GUGGGGAAUAUUGGACAAUGGGGGGAACCCUGAUCCAGCCAUGCCGCGUGUGUGAAGAAGGCCUUUUGGUUGUAAAGCACUUUAAGCGAGGAGGAGGCUACUCUAGUUAAUACCUGGGGAUAGUGGACGUUACUCGCAGAAUAAGCACCGGCUAACUCUGUGCCAGCAGCCGCGGUAAUACAGAGGGUGCGAGCGUUAAUCGGAUUUACUGGGCGUAAAGCGUGCGUAGGCGGCCAAUUAAGUCAAAUGUGAAAUCCCCGAGCUUAACUUGGGAAUUGCAUUCGAUACUGGUUGGCUAGAGUAUGUGAGAGGAUGGUAGAAUUCCAGGUGUAGCGGUGAAAUGCGUAGAGAUCUGGAGGAAUACCGAUGGCGAAGGCAGCCAUCUGGCCUAAUACUGACACUGAGGUGCGAAAGCAUGGGGAGCAAACAGGAUUAGAUACCCUAGUAGUCC
rnacentral:rRNA from 1 species